rnacentral:rRNA from 1 species
CGUGAGGAACCUACCUCGGAGUGGGGAAUAACAGACCAAAGGCCUGCUAAUACCGCAUGAUGCAGUUGGACCGCAUGGUCCUGACUGCCAAAGAUUUAUCGCUCUGAGAUGGCCUCGCGUCUGAUUAGCUUGUUGGCGGGGUAAUGGCCCACCAAGGCGACGAUCAGUAGCCGGACUGAGAGGUUGGCCGGCCACAUUGGGACUGAGACACGGCCCAG